UCCGGUUUAACACCGGCAGUCUCCCCAGAGUACCCAACUUAAUGAUGGCAACUAAGGAUAGGGGUUGCGCUCGUUGCAGGACUUAACCUAACAUCUUACGACACGAGCUGACGACAGCCAUGCAGCACCUAUCACCUUGUGACCGAAGUCAAAACUGCAUCUCUGCAGCGAUCAAGGGAUGUUAAACCCAGGUAAGGUUCUGCGCGUUGCUUCGAAUUAAACCACAUACUCCACCGCUUGUGCGGGCCCCCGUCAAUUCCUUUGAGUUUCAACCUUGCGGCCGUACUCCCCAGGCGGGAUACUUAAUGCGUGAGCUUUGGUACCCAGAGGGUUAGACCUCCGGACACCUAGUAUCCAUCGUUUACAGCGUGGACUAC
rnacentral:misc_RNA from 1 species